rnacentral:tRNA from 4 species
UGAUGUAGCUCAGUCGGUAGAGCGCAUCCUUGGUAAGGAUGAGGUCGCCGGUUCGAAUCCGGCCAUCA